CAAUAUGUUAUUGGGAGCCCGAAUCUGAGGCUGAGAGGGAAUGAUGUAUUCCGACCAUUGACCUGAUCUGGGUAAUUCCAGCGUAGGGAUUUUGCUGAAUAUACUG
rnacentral:ncRNA from 2 species